rnacentral:misc_RNA from 1 species
GGCCUCUAUAUUCUGGAAUUUCUGUUUGUCAGCAACUAUGAGCAAGUAACUACCGUCCAAAGGAUUAGCUGGGAAGAGCAGGAUCCCGCAACUGAUAUAACCGCCUAUCAAGACAGAGAAAAUGAUGUCUGGAGGCAACAGUUGAAACCAUUCUGAUUUUCCAAAAGUGGCUUGCACCAGGUUCUACAGUGCCUCAGCUCGCACUAACUACAUAUGAUUUGUUUAGAAUAUAGUUUCCUUUAGUUUCCUAGUGCUAUAACGAAAGACAUAUGUUUGGCUUGUUCGACCAAUUCUUCCGUUGAUUUGCUUUCUUUUGUCUGGUUUUUGGCAUUCUUUU